CCUAUAGAAAAUUCCCUCCAAAGUAAUCUACAGCAACAGAGUGCAGUACAAUACCACAAGUUUUCCAGCCAAAUGCGAUAGAAGCUCAACUAUUCGAAGCAGGAGACCGAAGAGAAAAAAGGAAGAGAGAUGAUAUUACAGCUGCA